rnacentral:rRNA from 1 species
CAGCAACGCCGCGGAGGGACGACGGCCACGGGUGUAAACCUCUUUUAGUAGGGAAGAAGCGAAAGGACGGUACCUGCAGAAAAAGCACCGGCUAACUACGUGCCAGCAGCCGCGGUAAUACGUAGGGUGCAAGCGUUGUCCGGAAUUAUUGGGCGUAAAGAGCUCGUAGGCGGUUUGUCGCGUCUGCUGUGAAAUCCCGAGGCUCAACCUCGGGCUUGCAGUGGGUACGGGCAGACUAGAGUGCGGUAGGGGAGAUUGGAAUUCCUGGUGUAGCGGUGGAAUGCGCAGAUAUCAGGAGGAACACCGAUGGCGAAGGCAGAUCUCUGGGCCGUAACUGACGCUGAGGAGCGAAAGCAUGGGGAGCGAACAGGAUUAGAUACCCUGGUAGUCCAUGCCGUAAACGUUGGGCGCUAGAUGUAGGGACCUUUCCACGGUUUCUGUGUCGUAGCUAACGCAUUAAGCGCCCCGCCUGGGGAGUACGGCCGCAAGGCUAAAACUCAAAGGAAUUGACGGGGGCCCGCACAAGCGGCGGAGCAUGCGGAUUAAUUCGAUGCAACGCGAAGAACCUUACCAAGGCUUGACAUACACCGGAAACGGCCAGAGAUGGUCGCCCCCUUGUGGUCGGUG